GACGAACGCUGGCGGCGUGCUUAACACAUGCAAGUCGAACGGAAAGGCCCUGCUUUUGUGGGGUGCUCGAGUGGCGAACGGGUGAGUAACACGUGAGUAACCUGCCCUUGACUUUGGGAUAACUUCAGGAAACUGGGGCUAAUACCGGAUAGGAGCUCCUGCUGCAUGGUGGGGGUUGGAAAGUUUCGGCGGUUGGGGAUGGACUCGCGGCUUAUCAGCUUGUUGGUGGGGUAGUGGCUUACCAAGGCUUUGACGGGUAGCCGGCCUGAGAGGGUGACCGGCCACAUUGGGACUGAGAUAGGGAGCAGACGCCUACGGGAGGCAACAGUGGGGAAUAUUGCACAAUGGGCGGAAGCCUGAUGCAGCAACGCCGCGUGCGGGAUGACGGCCUUCGGGUUGUAAACCGCUUUCGGCUGAGACGAAGCGUGAGUGACGGUAAUGGGUAAAGAAGCACCGGCUAACUACGUG
rnacentral:rRNA from 1 species